AUUGAACGCUGGCGGCAUGCCUUACACAUGCAAGUCGAACGGUAACGCGGGGCAACCUGGCGACGAGUGGCGAACGGGUGAGUAAUGCAUCGGAACGUGCCCAGUUGUGGGGGAUAACUGCUCGAAAGAGCAGCUAAUACCGCAUACGACCUGAGGGUGAAAGCGGGGGAUCGCAAGACCUCGCGCAAUUGGAGCGGCCGAUGUCGGAUUAGCUAGUUGGUGGGGUAAAGGCCCACCAAGGCGACGAUCCGUAGCUGGUCUGAGAGGACGACCAGCCACACUGGUGCUGAGACACGGCCCAGACUCCUACGGGAGGCAGCAGUGGGGAAUUUUGGACAAUGGACGCAAGUCUGAUCCAGCCAUGCCGCGUGCGGGAAGAAGGCCUUCGGGUUGUAAACCGCUUUUGUCAGGGAAGAAAUCUUCUGGGUUAAUACCUCGGGAGGAUGACGGUACCUGAAGAAUAAGCACCGGCUAACUACGUGCCAGCAGCCGCGGUAACAC
rnacentral:rRNA from 1 species